GUAUCAGUAUGGGAGAAGGACACUAGCCAAAGAUGUAUAGCAUGGGCAGCAGCAGUGCAAGCUUCCCCUCCAUCAUCUUGCCAAUAAAUUCUGGACCACAUCUAUGAAAGAAAGAGGCUUUCCAUCUUCACAUGCCUUAUAACCUUUGUCACCA
rnacentral:sRNA from 1 species